rnacentral:rRNA from 1 species
GGAUUGUAGUCUGCAACCCGACUACAUGAAGCUGGAAUCGCUAGUAAUCGCGGAUCAGAAUGCCGCGGUGAAUACGUUCCCGGGUCUUGUACACACCGCCCGUCACACCAUGGGAGUCGGAAAUGCCCGAAGUCGGUGACCUAACUGAAAGGAAGGAGCCGCCGAAGGCAGGUCUGGUGACUGGGGUGAAGUCGUAACAAGGUACC